AUACGUAGGGGGCAAGCGUUAUCCGGAUUUACUGGGUGUAAAGGGAGCGUAGACGGCGAAGCAAGUCUGAAGUGAAAGGACGGGGCCCAACCCCGGAACUGCUUUGGAAACUGUUUGGCUGGAGUGCGGGAGGGGUAAGCGGAAUUCCUAGUGUAGCGGUGAAAUGCGUAGAUAUUAGGAGGAACACCGGUGGCGAAGGCGGCUUACUGGACCGUAACUGACGUUGAGGCUCGAAGGCGUGGGGAGCAAACAGGAUUAGAUACCCUGGUAGUCCACGCGGUAAACGAUGAUCACUAGGUGUCCGUGGGUAUGACCCAUGGUGCCGCAGCCAACGCAAUAAGUGAUCCACCUGGGGAGUACGUUCGCAAGAAUGAAACUCAAAGGAAUUGACGGGG
rnacentral:rRNA from 1 species